CGAAUCCUAGGAGUUUGUAGGCUUUGCCUGCUAUCUCUUACCCAUGUCUUUUGAGUACCUUACGUUUCCUCGGCGGGUCCGCCCGCCGAUUGGACAAUUUAAACCAUUUGCAGUUGCAAUCAGCGUCUGAAAAAACUUAAUAGUUACAACUUUCAACAACGGAUCUCUUGGUUCUGGCAUCGAUGAAGAACGCAGCGAAAUGCGAUAAGUAGUGUGAAUUGCAGAAUUCAGUGAAUCAUCGAAUCUUUGAACGCACAUUGCGCCCCUUGGUAUUCCAUGGGGCAUGCCUGUUCGAGCGUCAUUUGUACCUUCAAGCUCUGCUUGGUGUUGGGUGUUUGUCUCGCCUCUGCGUGUAGACUCGCCUCAAAACAAUUGGCAGCCGGCGUAUUGAUUUCGGAGCGCAGUACAUCUCGCGCUUUGCACUCAUAACGACGACGUCCAAAAGUACAUUUUUACACUCUUGACCUCGGAUCAGGUAGGGAUACCCGCUGAACUUAAG
rnacentral:rRNA from 1 species